UACGUAGGGUGCAAGCGUUGUCCGGAAUUAUUGGGCGUACAGAGCUCGUAGGCGGUUUGUCGCGUCGAAUGUGAAAACCCGGGGCUCAACCCCGGGCCUGCAUUCGAUACGGGCAGACUAGAGUUCGGUAGGGGAGUCUGGAAUUCCUGGUGUAGCGGUGAAAUGCGCAGAUAUCAGGAGGAACACCGGUGGCGAAGGCGGGACUCUGGGCCGAUACUGACGCUGAGGAGCGAAAGCGUGGGGAGCGAACAGG
rnacentral:rRNA from 1 species